UGAACUCAAAAUUUGUAUGGAGUUAGAACGUUUUUCGCUAGAGGCGCUGUUGCAACUGCAUACAAAUUUGAGUUA
rfam:Bombyx mori DNA, contig: Bm_scaf47_contig25374, strain: p50T/Dazao, build 2, whole genome shotgun sequence.